rnacentral:rRNA from 1 species
UACGAAGGAUUCGAGCGUUAUCCGGAUUUAUUGGGUUUAAAGGGUGCGUAGGUGGACUAAUAAGUCAGUGGUGAAAGCCCGCAGCUUAACUGCGGAACUGCCAUUGAUACUGUUAGUCUUGAGUACAGUUGAGGUGGGCGGAAUGUGUCAUGUAGCGGUGAAAAUGCUUAGAUAUGACACAGAACACCGGUGGCGAAGGCGGCUAGCUGGGCCGGUUCUGACGCUCAUGUGCGAAAGCGUGGGGAGCAAACAGG